CAUUAGUUUAAGUGUGAGGCGGCUGGAGUGGAUGGUCUCUUCCUCUUGCUUCUCUAAAGCCGAUGAUUUCUAAGAUGCGCGCGCGAUCUCUCUUUUUUGGAGAAAUUAUUCUGUGCGGUCUCCGGACUUAUCUCUACGAGGGCGAUGACGAUGAAAUCAAACACGAAAAGUGAUCUUACCCCGGGUUAAGAAUUAUUCCAAUGAUGCUUUAGAUAUUGCGAUGGUGCAGGAGCAGCUUGGAUGGCCCGCUCAUCUAAGGGAAACCGCUGUGUCUAUGCGUCUCCGUAAGAGAAAAGGUUGGUAGAUCUGCUUAAGGAUGGAACCAAAGCAAAUCUGAGCCCCCAACUCCUUAUUUCUUUGCUGAUCUUCUCUGAAACAGGUUUUCCAAUGCUCUGCAUGAAUACGUGAGUGUUGUAGUGAUGCUUAACCCAAAAGAAAUCAUAUCUCCAACUUGUUAGUUUAAGGGGCUAUUUGGUUGCAGCUUUAAGGCAUGAUUUAAGAGGCUAUUUAGUGAAAUUAUUCGGUGGGGUGUCCGGACUUAGCGCGUAACUCCAAUGAAAUCGCUGCAGCCCGAACUACCCAGCUCAGAGGUGGAGAAAUUAUUGUAUGCGGAAUUCAAAUACAUUUGAAUUCUAAUUACAGCCUGCCACAUCAGCAGAUGCACUUCGGAGCAGUGCAUCCAGUGACAUGGAUUUCGCACACAAUAAUAUCUCCCAGAGCUGUUCGUUGAUCUACGAUUUCGUCUGCUUCGCGUGAGAGGUGGAGUUUCGAACGAGUUGCUAAAUAACUUCCUCCUUGGAUGACAUUUCUUCCUAGUUCGUUAUGCGCUUUAGUGAUCGUAAUGCUUCUCUGCUAUCAUCUUGCAUUGGCACGGAGCAGGUUGUAAGGCCCUUGCAUAUGUUGGCAAUCGCCAUGGUGAAGAAUUAAUGGAUGGAUUGUCUUCCUGAUGGAAUAAAGGUGAAUUUUGGCAGUAGAGGUCUGCUUGCUACUCACACUUUUGAAGUUUGUUGGCGUUGUUUAGUUUAGCAGUUU